AAGGCUUUAGCUUAAUUAAAAGUAUCUGGUUUGCAUCCAGGGGACGUGGGGUAAUAUCCUGCAAGUCUUA
rnacentral:tRNA from 1 species